rnacentral:sRNA from 1 species
UGCAUCUGUAGCUCAUGAGGAAGAGAACCUCCGGGGGCGGGGAGGUUCGACUCGAGCGAAGCGAGAGAACGUUGCGCCAGCAACGGCCCGCAGGGCGAGCCACGAAGUGGCGAGUAAUCCUCUAUCACCGACCA